ensembl:lncRNA
AAAUGACCCUAAAUGGCCCCAAAUGGCCCUAAAUGACCCCAAAUGGCCCCAAAAUGGUCCUAAAUGGCCCCAAAAGGGACCCUAAAACGACCCUAAAUGAACCCAAAGGCACUGCGCCGCCCCAUUCCUGGUGAGGGGACCCCAAAAACGACCCCAAAAACGACCCUAAAAGGACCCUAAAUGGCCCUAAAUGACCCUAAAUGGCCCUAAAUGGCCUUAAAUGGUCCUAAAUGGUCCUAAAAUGGACCCUAAAUGGACCCAAAUAGCCCCAAAAGGGACC